CAGGUGCCCCGCUUGCGGUCGGUUUACAGGUGGUGCAUGGUUGUCGUCAGCUCGUGUCGUGAGAUGUUGGGUUAAGUCCCGCAACGAGCGCAACCCUCGUUCUAUGUUGCCAGCACGUGAUGGUGGGGACUCAUAGGAGACUGCCGGGGUCAACUCGGAGGAAGGUGGGGACGACGUCAAAUCAUCAUGCCCCUUAUGUCUUGGGCUUCACGCAUGCUACAAUGGCCGGUACAAAGGGUUGCGAUACUGUGAGGUGGAGCUAAUCCCAAAAAGCCGGUCUCAGUUCGGAUUGGGGUCUGCAACUCGACCCCAUGAAGUCGGAGUCGCUAGUAAUCGCAGAUCAGCAACGCUGCGGUGAAUACGUUCCCGGGCCUUGUACACACCGCCCGUCAAGUCACGAAAGUUGGUAACACCCGAAGCCGGUGGCCUAACCCCUUUGUGGGAGGGAGCUGUCGAAGGUGGGACUGGCGAUUGGGACUAAGUCGUAACAAGGUAGCCGUACCGGAAGGUGCGG
rnacentral:rRNA from 1 species